UAAUACAAUUUUGUUGACCAAAGCAGGUGG
rnacentral:piRNA from 1 species